rnacentral:rRNA from 1 species
GACGAACGCUGGCGGCGUGCUUAACACAUGCAAGUCGAACGGAAAGGCCCUGCUUUUGUGGGGUGCUCGAGUGGCGAACGGGUGAGUAACACGUGAGUAACCUGCCCUCGACUUUGGGAUAACUUCAGGAAACUGGGGCUAAUACCGGAUAGGAGCUCCUGCUGCAUGGUGGGGGUUGGAAAGUUUCGGCGGUUGGGGAUGGACUCGCGGCUUAUCAGCUUGUUGGUGGGGUAGUGGCUUACCAAGGCUUUGACGGGUAGCCGGCCUGAGAGGGUGACCAGCCACAUUGGGACUGAGAUACGGCCCAGACUCCUACGGGAGGCAGCAGUGGGGAAUAUUGCACAAUGGGCGGAAGCCUGAUGCAGCAACGCCGCGUGCGGGAUGACGGCCUUCGGGUUGUAAACCGCUUUCGCCUGUGACGAAGCGUGAGUGACGGUAAUGGGUAAAGAAGCACCGGCUAACUACGUG